rnacentral:rRNA from 1 species
GGGAGACACACGGCGGGUGCUAACGUCCGUCGUGAAGAGGGAAACAACCCAGACCGCCAGCUAAGGUCCCAAAGUCAUGGUUAAGUGGGAAACGAUGUGGGAAGGCCCAGACAGCCAGGAUGUUGGCUUAGAAGCAGCCAUCAUUUAAAGAAAGCGUAAUAGCUCACUGGUCGAGUCGGCCUGCGCGGAAGAUGUAACGGGGCUAAACCAUGCACCGAAGCUGCGGCAGCGAACGUAUCACCCAAGACAACUUUACGGAGUUGACGAUUGACGGAGCGAAGCGACGUCAAAGCGUUCAUUAAAGUCGAGUUGGCUUAGGGAUACGUUCGUUGGGUAGGGGAGCGUUCUGUAAGCCUGUGAAGGUGUGUCGUGAGGCAUGCUGGAGGUAUCAGAAGUGCGAAUGCUGACAUAAGUAACGAUAAAGCGGGUGAAAAGCCCGCUCGCCGGAAGACCAAGGGUUCCUGUCCAACGUUAAUCGGGGCAGGGUGAGUCGACCCCUAAGGCGAGGCCGAAAGGCGUAGUCGAUGGGAAACGGGUUAAUAUUCCCGUACUUGGUGUUACUGCGAAGGGGGGACGGAGAAGGCUAUGUUGGCCGGGCGACGGUUGUCCCGGUUUAAGCGUGUAGGUGUGUGUUCCAGGUAAAUCCGGUUCACUUUAACACUGAGGCGUGACGACGAGGCACUACGGUGCUGAAGCAACAAAUGCCCUGCUUCCAGGAAAAGCCUCUAAGCAUCAGGUAACACGAAAUCGUACCCCAAACCGACACAGGUGGUCAGGUAGAGAAUACCAAGGCGCUUGAGAGAACUCGGGUGAAGGAACUAGGCAAAAUGGUGCCGUAACUUCGGGAGAAGGCACGCUGACACGUAGGUGAAGUGAUUUACUCAUGGAGCUGAAGUCAGUCGAAGAUACCAGCUGGCUGCAACUGUUUAUUAAAAACACAGCACUGUGCAAACACGAAAGUGGACGUAUACGGUGUGACGCCUGCCCGGUGCCGGAAGGUUAAUUGAUGGGGUCAGCGUAAGCGAAGCUCCUGAUCGAAGCCCCGGUAAACGGCGGCCGUAACUAUAACGGUCCUAAGGUAGCGAAAUUCCUUGUCGGGUAAGUUCCGACCUGCACGAAUGGCGUAAUGAUGGCCAGGCUGUCUCCACCCGAGACUCAGUGAAAUUGAACUCGCUGUGAAGAUGCAGUGUACCCGCGGCAAGACGGAAAGACCCCGUGAACCUUUACUAUAGCUUGACACUGAACAUUGAGCCUUGAUGUGUAGGAUAGGUGGGAGGCUUUGAAGUGUGGACGCCAGUCUGCAUGGAGCCGACCUUGAAAUACCACCCUUUAAUGUUUGAUGUUCUAACGUGGACCCGUAAUCCGGGUUGCGGACAGUGUCUGGUGGGUAGUUUGACUGGGGCGGUCUCCUCCUAAAGAGUAACGGAGGAGCACGAAGGUUGGCUAAUCCUGGUCGGACAUCAGGAGGUUAGUGCAAUGGCAUAAGCCAGCUUGACUGCGAGCGUGACGGCGCGAGCAGGUGCGAAAGCAGGUCAUAGUGAUCCGGUGGUUCUGAAUGGAAGGGCCAUCGCUCAACGGAUAAAAGGUACUCCGGGGAUAACAGGCUGAUACCGCCCAAGAGUUCAUAUCGACGGCGGUGUUUGGCACCUCGAUGUCGGCUCAUCACAUCCUGGGGCUGAAGUAGGUCCCAAGGGUAUGGCUGUUCGCCAUUUAAAGUGGUACGCGAGCUGGGUUUAGAACGUCGUGAGACAGUUCGGUCCCUAUCUGCCGUGGGCGCUGGAGAACUGAGGGGGGCUGCUCCUAGUACGAGAGGACCGGAGUGGACGCAUCACUGGUGUUCGGGUUGUCAUGCCAAUGGCACUGCCCGGUAGCUAAAUGCGGAAGAGAUAAGUGCUGAAAGCAUCUAAGCACGAAACUUGCCCCGAGAUGAGUUCUCCCUGAGACUUAGAGUCUCCUGAAGGAACGUUGAAGACGACGACGUUGAUAGGCCGGGUGUGUAAGCGCAGCGAUGCGUUGAGCUAACCGGUACUAAUGAACCGUGAGGCUUAACCUUACAACGCCGAAG